UUUUGAUCUCAAAUUCCUUCGAUCGACAGCUAUUUAAGGUCUCAACACUCCUUUGCGAUCAAUCCCCCAUCUUGAUCUUUCUUCUUCCCUACUGUUCUCUGGAAGCCGCGGAUUGGAUUCAUUGCUCUCGCCGGAUAAACUUCGCCGGAAGUAAGUUCUGCAGAAAUGAACAGUGAGCAGCCAAAGAGAAACGGCAAGAUGCUGACGCUGACAUCAUCAAGCGAACGGAAACGGAAGCAGACAUCACAGGAGCAGGAGCAGGAGCCGACAACACUCGAAGAAGCGGCACACGGAGUAGGACGAGACCCGGAAAAAAUGAUUAAAUACUUUGCGCUGUUGGAGAUAGAAGUCAAGAAGUUGGUACCCCAAUUCGAAGCUCAAAACAUGAUGUCCGUAGCCAAUAUUCUGCGUGAUCUCCCUGAUAAUUUGGCGGAUGCUUUUGGAGGAAUCCAUGAAGAAUGGAGGAAUCCAUGAAGAUCUGCAGAUAGACCCAAGAACGAGGAUUGAUAGCAAUAAUUUUUUCAAUCGUACAGAUGGCGGUUCGUAGGGUUUGACAGCAGCACCCAUUUUUUCUCAAUUGAUUUUAGAUUGCAUAGUAUUGUUGGUGCUAGGGAUUGGUGGUCAAUAAGUUUAGCUUACAUUGGAUAAAAUGUAAGUUGGGAUUUGUUGAGAGAUUGAAAAUAUUUUUAUUUGUUAAUAAAAGAAUAUUUUGUUU